GCGCGGAGGGCGCUUAUGAAUCGAAGAGUCAUAAUUAGGAUGAGCCCGACAACAUACCACAGAGCAAAGCGAUGUGGUGAUAUCCGAG
rnacentral:sRNA from 12 species